rnacentral:rRNA from 1 species
AUGGCUAAGUGUGCUAAUCACGCCCCCGCCGCCUUAUCAUCGCAGUCUUCCCAGGAGAAUCAGUCCGACACUUCAUCGCGUCAUCGUGCCCAUCCUUGGAUGAUUUUCCUUGCCCCCCAGCCACGCGUCGUCGCUAGCAGCGAUGGGCAGCCGACAUUUUCUUUCAUAACUCGCAUCCAGAGGAGUCUCUUCAGCGUGGGGGAUUGGCUCGAGUUCAAGGCAAGAUCAAGGCGUAUCCUAUCGGUGGCGGCAGGUCGAGGGAGUUGCGUGGAGAGGUCAAAGGAGAGGGUGAGGAAGAUCUUGAGAAAUUUGAUAGAUUGUACUCCCGACAGUGGCUUGUCUAUUGGUACUCACGUGCAUAUACCUUGGAUGCAAGUCACGAGGGAAUAUUGGAAGAUGGCAUUGAUAUCCAGAGGGCUUCUUUAUCUCCACCAAGAUUCAAGAUUAACAAUAGUUCAUCGAGAUCUCAAAGCAGGCAACAUCUUGUUGGAUGCGCAAAUGAGUCCUAAAAUAUCUGAUUUUGGUAUGGCAAGGAUCUUUGGAGGAAAAGAGCAACAAUCAAACACUAAACGGGUUAUUGGGACAUAUGGUUACAUGUCUCCUGAAUAUGCGAUGGAAGGCUGCUUUUUUGUCAAGUCUGACACCUACAGCUUUGGGAUUUUGCUGUUAGAGAUUGCAUGGAGCUUAUGGGUUGAUGGAAAUGCAAGUGAAUUGGUGUACCGGUCAGUUGUGGAGAGUUGUCCACUUGAUGAAGUUCUAUGA